UUUGUGCAUGGAAGGUCUGGAUUCAUGCGGUGUGUGAAGCUGAGCAAAGGGGCAUAGAGAAUGAGGUAUUAAAUCAAAGGGAGGGUGGGGCAAAGAAAACCAUGGGAGUGAAGAACAAGUAAGUGGCCAAGAAAGACUGGAGGCGUGGGGGGGAGACAGGAGAGGAUACAGACAGCUGAAGAAUGGGAACUGGCUAAUGGGCGAUCAUAUGAAUGGUAUGAAUCAUCCCAUGCUGAUCUCUUCUUCCAUGUGUUUGAUUACUGCAGCUAUCACUUGGCAUUUUUCCACGAUGUCUUUCUGAGAAUAGAAGUAACUCUUACGUUUCUAGUGUGCUGAAGCUGAGCCUCAGUGCCCUUGCUGGCAGCCAUCAUGUUGGAGAGGAUGAAUGUGUUCUUCUCAACUGUCAGAAAUCUUCUGUUGCCAGAUACUUUCUUGAUGGUAUUUAGAGCAGUUUGGAUGCAUCUGCUGUUUUGUUCUGGAGGAUUGGGAAGGAAGCUCAGGAGGCAUCCUUCAUGAGAGACUGCCGAAAGGUAUUAUUCAUGCAAAUGAGAUGAAGAAGCUCUUUCUUAAACAGUUAAAAACCUCACUCCCAAUAAUGCAGAAUUUUGUAUUAUGUACACAGUAAUACAUUGACAAUAAAAACGAAGAUCUUUGGCCCCCA
rnacentral:lncRNA from 1 species